ACGUCUCUCGACCACUUCUGUGCUUUAGUGCCCAACAAAAUGAAGUUUUUACGGGUUUCCAAAGACACAAGUACCACAAAAGCAUGAUGGUUACAGCUACAGAUGUCUCUGGACAGAUAAAGUCAACUCCCCCAAAGUAGAUGCUUGAUGAUGCACAUGAAGUCCUGCGUGAAGAUUCAAAGAUGUCUUCUCAGUCAAUAGUGGCCAAAGAUGAGACCACACCCCAACCUCAAGAAGAGACGGACGAACAAGAGGAGUCUCCGAACAACACUUCUGAGGAGGUACCAGAAGAAGAAGGUAAUAACUUCAGAUGUCUCUGGACAGAUAAAGUCUACUCCGCCAAAGUAGAUGCUUGAUGAUGCACAUGAAGUCCUGCGUGAAGAUUCAAAGAGAUUCAAAGAUGUCUUCUCAGCCAAUAGAGAUCAAGUAAUCCAGAUGUAGAGUGUGAGAUCUUUGUUCAUAGAGGCUGACCAUUAGUCGGCGGAGAUAUAAGCACAUCUGUGAAGGAUGGAGCAUUUGGACAACUUUACCAACUUUAAAGGCCCCUCAUUCGAUGUUGGCAACAAUCUACUGUGGCAAGUCAAUCAACUGUGAAGAUCAACUAAUCGAGACAGAGAGUGUCGGAUCUCCAUUCGUGUUCCAGCCCAUCACCAGUGGACAUGCCUUUUUAUCAGCAGUAGUUUAGUGUUUGUAGCUUUGAAUUUAUAACUACUUGUAUCUGGGAUGGAUCUAAAGGUUUAGUCUAAUAUCACCAAGAUAAUGAAGGCUUUUCUUGAAAGAGCAUCAGUGUCUGCAAGAUUGAAAUGUGCACAUUCUGAGUGUGGUAAAUCAUUCAUACUUUCCUUGUGUGGU